CUUCACUAAUCUAGCUGUGUACAUGUAAAGGGUGAAUUAAAGGAAAUAUAAACGUUAUGAACACGGAGAGAAAAUUAAAAAGAACUGAAAGUUGUUUUAUUUCUUGAAAAUGGAACUAUAACACAUGUGAAACAGAAUAGUGCCGCUUCAAGUCGGCGACGCAAUUGUCAUGUUCUAUAUUUUAGACGUCACACAUCCCAAGUCAGACAUAACAAGACCGAC
rnacentral:lncRNA from 1 species